rnacentral:rRNA from 1 species
CUGAGUACGGCGGAACACGUGAAAUUCCGUCGGAAUCCGGGAGGACCAUCUCCCAAGGCUAAAUACUCCCUAGUGACCGAUAGUGAACCAGUACCGUGAGGGAAAGGUGAAAAGCACCCCGGAAGGGGAGUGAAACAGUUCCUGAAACCGUGUGCCUACAAGUAGUUAGAGCCCGUUAAUGGGUGAUAGCGUGCCUUUUGUAGAAUGAACCGGCGAGUUACGAUUUGUUGCAAGGUUAAGCGGAAAAAGCGGAGCCGUAGCGAAAGCGAGUCUGAAUAGGGCGCAUAAGUAACAGGUCGUAGACCCGAAACCAGGUGAUCUACCCAUGUCCAGGAUGAAGGUAAGGUAAUACUUACUGGAGGUCCGAACCCACGCACGUUGAAAAGUGCGGGGAUGAGGUGUGGGUAGCGGAGAAAUUCCAAUCGAACUUGGAGAUAGCUGGUUCUCUCCGAAAUAGCUUUAGGGCUAGCCUCGAGGUAAAGAGUCAUGGAGGUAGAGCACUGUUUGGACUAGGGGCCCUUCUCGGGUUACCGAAUUCAGAUAAACUCCGAAUGCCAUGUACUUAUACUCGGGAGUCAGACUGCGAGUGAUAAGAUCCGUAGUCGAAAGGGAAACAGCCCAGACCACCAGUUAAGGUCCCCAAAUAUAUGUUAAGUGGAAAAGGAUGUGGGGUUGCUUAGACAACCAGGAUGUUGGCUUAGAAGCAGCCACCAUUGAAAGAGUGCGUAAUAGCUCACUGGUCGAGUGACCCCGCGCCGAAAAUGUACCGGGGCUAAACAUAUUACCGAAACUGUGGAUGAACCUCUUUAGAGGUUCGUGGUAGGAGAGCGUUCUAAGGGCGGUGAAGUCAGACCGGAAGGACUGGUGGAGCGCUUAGAAGUGAGAAUGCCGGUAUGAGUAGCGAAAGAAGGGUGAGAAUCCCUUCCACCGAAUAUCUAAGGUUUCCUGAGGAAGGCUCGUCCGCUCAGGGUUAGUCGGGACCUAAGCCGAGGCCGAUAGGCGUAGGCGAUGGACAACAGGUAGAGAUUCCUGUACCAGUGCUAAUUGUUUAACCGAUG